rnacentral:rRNA from 1 species
AAGCGUUAUCCGGAUUCAUUGGGUUUAAAGGGUGCGUAGGCGGAAUUAGAUAGUCAAAGGUGAAAGCCUGCAGCUUAACUGUAGAAGUUGCCUUUUGAUACUGCUAAAUCUUGAGUACAGUUGAGGCGAGUGGAAUUGUUGUAGUGUAGCGGUGAAAUGCAUAGAUAACUACACAGAACACCAAUUGCGAAGGCAGCUCGCUAAGCUGUUACUGACGCUCAGGCACGAAAGCGUGGGGAGCGAACAGGAUUAGAUACCCUGGUAGUCCACGCUGUAAACUAUGAUCACUAGCUGUUGGCGAUAAAUUGUCAGUGGCUCAGCGAAAGCGUUAAGUGAUCCACCUGGGGAGUACGAUCGCAAGGUUGAAACUCAAAGGAAUUGACGGGGGCCCGCACAAGCGGUGGAACAUGUGGUUUAAUUCGAUGAUACGCGAGGAACCUUACCUGGGCUUAAAUGUAGCGCGACGUCUCGAGAAAUCGGGAUUCCCUUCGGGGCGAACUACAAGGUGCUGCAUGGUUGUCGUCAGCUCGUGCCGUGAGGUAUCGGUUUAAGUCCCAUAACGAGCGCAACCCUUAUUGUUAGUUACCAGCGGAUAAUGCCGGGGACUCUAACAAAACUGCCCGUGUAAACGGGAGGAAGGUGGGGAUGACG